AACGAACGCUGGCGGCAUGCCUAACACAUGCAAGUCGAACGAGACCUUCGGGUCUAGUGGCGCACGGGUGCGUAACGCGUGGGAACCUGCCCUUAGGUUCGGAAUAACUCCCCGAAAGGGGUGCUAAUACCGGAUAAUGUCUUCGGACCAAAGAUUUAUCGCCUUUGGAUGGGCCCGCGUUGGAUUAGCUAGUUGGUAGGGUAAAAGCCUACCAAGGCGACGAUCCAUAGCUGGUCUGAGAGGAUGAUCAGCCACACUGGGACUGAGACACGGCCCAGACUCCUACGGGAGGCAGCAGUUAAGAAUAUUGGACAAUGGGCGAAAGCCUGAUCCAGCAAUGCCGCGUGAGUGAUGAAGGCCUUAGGGUUGUAAAGCUCUUUUACCCGGGAUGAUAAUGACAGUACCGGGAGAAUAAGCUCCGGCUAACUCCGUG
rnacentral:rRNA from 1 species